GCAACCUACUCCAGUAUACUUGCCUGGAAAAUUCCACGGACAGAGGAGCCUGGCGGGCUGCAGAGAGUAGGAUGUGACUGAGCACACAUACAAGGUCUGAUGAUAAAAAUGUUGACAAAGAUGUGGAACAGCAUCUCAUGAACUGCAAAUGAGAGUGUGUUUCAUUAGUAUACAUAUUCUGGUGUUGUAAUAAAAAUCCAACUAUAACAUGGUUUAAUUAAGUGAGUUUUUCCUCUCAUAAGAGUCCCAAGUAUAGGGCUGAUAAGAGUAUUUGUAACACAGGCUCUUUUCUGUCAACUUUAGUAGGUACCUUUAUUCUUUGGUUUCAUGAUAGCUACUCCAGUGUGGCCGUCAUGUCCAUAUACCAGUUAAUAAGGGGGAAGGUCUGUUUCAUCUUUUUAAAGACGUGGCCCAACUUCUAUUUUACAUGUUAUUGGCCAGGACUUUGGCCCAUGGCCACAGAUAGUUACAAGAAAUGAUAAGUGAUAUCUAUUCUCGUCAGCUAUGUAUACAUCUAAAAUUUGGAGGAUCUGUUAUUAAAGAAAGAAUAGAAUAUUUUGGACCUCUACAGAUGUUGCCACAGAGAAACUAGUUCAGUUACUUGGGAAAGCAAUUUGGCAAAAUUAUCAGUAAAGUUGUACAUAUUCCUAGAUCUACCACUUGCACUUCUAAAUCUGUGUCGUAUAGAAAGCAGAUGUAUACACAAGGAGAUGCACAGAAAUACUGUGGUAUUAUUUGUAACUGAAAAACUUGAAGCAACUGUAUGUUCAUCAAUAGAGGAACAAAUCAUUCAAAUAUAGGUAAAUACAAAAAAAAGUACAGUUAAAAUGAACUGUCAACAUGGAUAAAUAUAGUGUGAUAAGAGGAAGUUGUAUAAACAUAUACACAAUAUUAUGGAAAAUAAUGUUGGAAACAUGUAACACUAUAAUAUUUUUUCAUAUAGAUACGUGUAACAAGGAUAGAGACCUGCAUGGGAAUGGUCAAUACCCAAAAUAGGGUAGAAAUUACCUCAUGUUGGGGGUGGGGGUAAACAGUGCUUCAACUGUUAUCUGUUGUAUUUUAUUUCUUAAAAAUCUGCAGCAAAUACAGCAGAAUUCUAAAGCUAGGUGGUGAAUAUAUAUGUUUGUAAUAUUUUGUAAGAAAAUAGCACGUUUUCAUAGAGCUCACAGUCCAGUGGGAAAAACAAUGUUUUCAGCAAUGUAAAAUGUGGUAUAAUAGUGUGGUAUGCAAAGGGCUGUAAAAAUAAAAGUGGAUUAUUUCUUAACUCAGCCUGGCAGUGGUUGUUGAAGAGAGAAGACUUGUUUGGAAGUGAUGCCUGAGCCUUGAAGGAUGUUGCACAGACAGUAGAUGGAGUGGGAGAAAGGAGCCAAACUGGACAUUUUAUAUAAGAAUAACAUGAAGCCUAGAGAGAUUAGGUGUGUAUCCUGAGGACCAGGCAGGAUAAAAGACAAAUCCAUCACCAGGCACAUCAUCAUUGUGAAGCGGUGGGACUUCCAGAUAAAGACAGCAAGAGAGAAGACCCUGUCUACAAAGGGCCGCCAGUUUUGCUGUCAGCUGACUUCUCAUCAGCAAUAGUAGAGGACAGGAAACAAUGUCUCAAAUGCUGAGGGCAUAUAUGUCUACAUAGAACUUUAUCCACAGCUAAACUAACAUUCAAAAAUGAAUGCAAAUUAUAAACAUUUUUAGACAUGACUUAGUACAAAAUCUCACAUAAAAAUGAUUAAAAGAUACAUUUCUGCAAGAGAAGACAUGAAAGUCAAGUCAUGUAAGCAAAGUAGUUUCUGUAGUAGGAGAGAAGGCAGCUAAAAAAAUAAUCUGAACACAGUGAUUUAACAAGACAGUACCUUUAAAUCAACUAUUGACUGUAGACACUGUUUUGUGAUAAGUUGAAAUAAACAUUU